rnacentral:rRNA from 1 species
GUUUAUCAAAAACAUUGUCACUUGAUAUCGCUAUAAGUGAUAGAUCAUCCUGCCCCAUGGACAACUAAAUGGCCGCGGUACCCUGACCGUGCAAAGGUAGCAUAAUCAUUUGCCUAUUAAUUGUAGGCUAGCAUGAAUGGACAAACGCAGUUUCAGCUAUUCCUUUUAAGCCUGUAAAACCUAAUCUCCAAGUGAAGAAGCUUAGAUUCCCGCGUAGGACAAGAAGACCCUGUAGAGCUUUACCCUUUCCUCGUAUCUGACAACGAAAUCCGGUUUGGUUGGGGCGACCAAGGAAAAUACUCACCCUCCUGUAUCACAAAGACUAACAACUCUAAAAAAGACCCUACACCCUAGAUCAUAGAAACCAGCUACCUCAGGGAUAACAGGCUAAUUUUCCUUAAGAGCCCUUAUUAACAGGAAAGAUUGGCACCUCGAUGUUGGCUUAGGAUCUCUUUAUAGUGCAGCCGCCAUAAAUAGAUGGUUUGUUCAACCAUUAAAAUCCUACGUGAUCUGAGUUCA